rnacentral:lncRNA from 12 species
CUCCCAUGAUGCUGGUAGGCUUUCAUGUUAUUACCUAAACCAGUUUGAUCUCUGCUAUUCUGAGUCUCCCCUUAGUUCUCCUUAUCACCCUCCCAGGCAAGCUUAAUAUAUGUUAAUAGAAGCUAUCAUGACCCCACAAGUCUUUUCAGAGUCUGAAAUGAACUAUUGUAUUGAAUCCUAUGAGAAAUGGGAAAUGGGUUCAAAUACAGAAGGAGAGAAGUCUCCUGAUAUUCCCUUGAUACCUAGCAAGUAGAUUAUUUAUGCCAAACAACACCAUUAAAAGAUGUUUCUGGUUUCUUCUAGCUCUAACAUCCUACAACUCUUCAGCAACUGCUGUGAGGAAAAUAAUCAGAUUUUAUCAGAACAGAUCCAGUUUCUCACCUUUAACUCUGAUGUGGGAGAGUUAACUGAUACAAAGGUAAGAGCCAAUAUUGCUAACUGUUGAGAGGGACUGAGUUUAAAGGUGAUUUUAUUUUGGGAGUGAUACUCAGAAACCCUGGUAGCCCUAGUUGCUCCAAGUUCAGAAGUUUUUCUCCUUUAAUAGCCAAAUAUCCAUCAUCUGAGCCCCUCAUGUACUACCAAGUAAGCCUCUCCAGGGUGCCUUAGGAAUUUCUCAGGAACACCAAAACAUUUCAAAAUUCACCCUGGUUGUUGCUUGUCACCUUGGACAGACAUCUGACCUUGAACUAUGGCCACUUUCUGUGUGAAAACCAGACUCUUACAAACUAUCUAUGUACUGUUUUACUCCAACAAAAAUAUUGAAUAAGGGUUUUACCAAGCCUCAAGCACACCUAUUCAAACUUGCCUACUAAGUGAUGCUGAGACCCCUGAGAGCCUAAUUGCAGCCCAUUCUUAACCUGUUUUAGAACCAUACCUGUGCCUCAAUAACUCUAAACCAGAACAGUAACUAAUCUCAAGAGAGACUUUCCAAUCCACUUCUGAAAUAAUCAGAAAUUUGAAAAACAAAAACAAAAAAAACCCUUCCCUUUCUCAGUAUUAUGUCUGUCCCUUUCACUUUUAGCUUGCAGGAGACUCCCUGACUUUUCUUAAGGAAUAUGAUUCUUCUUUGCUGGAUGGGUCAUAUACUCUGCCUCCAUUUUAGACUAUUUUGGGGGUCUUUGUGUUUAUUCUGUGACAGUGGACAUCGGCUGCUGUAUUCCCCAGAGUUCAGCUAAGAUGGGGCAGUGAUAUUUUAUA